rnacentral:lncRNA from 1 species
GGGUAUAGUGACACAGUAACAGAGGGAUUGAGGAACCUGCUCGGUGAGUUUACAUGUUAGAGGGAGUGGGGUAUAGUGACACAGUAACAGAGGGAUUGAAGGCCCUGCUCAGUGAGUUUACAUGUUAGAGGGAGUGGGGGAUAGUGACACAGUAACAGAGGGAUUGAGGGCCCUGCUCAGUGAGUUUACAUGUUAGAGGGAGUGGGGUAUAGUGACACAGUAACAGAGGGAUUGAGGGCCCUGCUCAGUGAGUUUACAUGUUAGAGGGAGUGGGGUAUAGUGACACAGUAACAGAGGGAUUGAGGGCAUGCUCAGUGAGUUUACAUGUUAGAGGGAGUGGGGUAUAGUGACACAGUAACAGAGGGAUUGAGGGCAUGCUCAGUGAGUUUACAUGUUAGAGGGAGUGGGGUAUAGUGACACAGUAACAGAGGGAUUGAGGGUCCUGCUCAGUGAGUUUACAUGUUAGAGGGAGUGGGGUAUAGUGACA